rnacentral:rRNA from 1 species
AUUGAACGCUGGCGGCAGGCUUAACACAUGCAAGUCGAACGAGUGGCGGACGGGUGAGUAAUGUCUGGGAAUCUGCCUGAUGGAGGGGGAUAACUACGGGAAACUGUAGCUAAUACCGCCUACCAUCGGAUGUGCCCAAGUGGGAUUAGGUAGUUGGUGGGGUAAUGGCUCACCAAGACGACGAUCACUAGCUGGUCUGAGAGGAUGACCAGCCACACUGGGACUGAGACACGGUCCAGACUCCUACGGGAGGCAGCAGUGGGGAAUAUUGCACAAUGGGCGCAAGCCUGAUGCAGCCAUGCCGCGUGUGUGAAGAAGGCCUUCGGGUUGUAAAGCACUUUCAGCGAGGAGGCGUUACUCGCAGAAGAAGCACCGGCUAACUCCGUGCCAGCCGCCGCGGUAAUUC